rnacentral:sRNA from 1 species
UACAGAUAUAAAUCGUGAAGGAUUUGAACCUGAGCAGGUUUGGUUUGAGCAACGUGAAACAACGUUGCCAGCGGCGACGGGCCUAAGGCCGAGGCGUAGCCGAGUUAUCCUGCACGACCCACCA